AAUGCCCGGGCACAAGCGGCGGCAGCCCCGCCCUGUGAUCGGGAAAACAAAGAGAUGAGUCUCCCGCGCGCUCCGGGAUCGGGGUCCGCCCGCCGCGACAACAAAGAGCUUAAUCAGGGCGGCGGCGACCGCAGCCCGUGCUGGGACACGGAGCGAACCGCGGCACCCCGGCACAAGCCGGGCCGUACCGAGGUCUCUGUGUCCGCGCCGGAGAAACAUGGGGCGCUCCCGACUGCUGACAAUCAUGCUCCAAUGGGCCUUCUUCAACUGUUGUACCUAAAAACAAGGCUGGAUUCAAAAGGUUGUUUUCUCUUCUGUAGCUGUCAGUGUAUCAUCAACAUACUGUAACAGCAGGUAUUGUUCUCUCGGUACUUGCCCGUUCUCAGUCCAAAUCUCCAGCUCCUUCGCCAGUUGGCUUCCAAAUAGGGUUGGACUGUUCUUGUAUCCUUGUGGAAGUCAUGUCCAGGUGAGAUGAGUUUUCCUUCUGUUUUCUGGAUUUUCCCACUCAAAGGCAAACAGUUUCCUACUUUCUUUGUUGAGGGGUAUGCAGAAAAAGGCAUCUUUUAAAUCAGUUACAGUAAACCAUUUAUAUUUCUCUUUUACGGAUGUCAACAACGUGUAGGGAUUGGCAACCACUGGAUAAAUAUCUUUAGUUAUUUAAUUUAUUGCUCUCAAAUCCUGUACUAGUCUGUACUCACCAUUUGGUUUCUUCACUGGAAAUAUUGGUGUAUUAUAUUCUCAUUCACAUUCUUCUAGAAUUUGAUAUUUCAAAAAUUUAUCAAUAACCUUUACUAUUCCUUGCCGUGCUUCUGGCUUUAUGGGAUACUGUUUGACCUGUUGUCAUGGGGUAGCUUUACCUUUAAGAUAGCUUUGAGAGAAGGAAGUUGAAGCUGCUGGUGGCUGAUGGGAGUUUUUCCUCCUGACCAAUUAUCAGUCAUUUCUAAGAAUUGACAGCAGUCUUGACCAUUAAAAAGUUAAGUCAACUUGUAAACACCCCCUUAAGAAGUACAGUCAGAGUUCUCUUGCUCUCUUUUGUUUCCGGCUUUUGAGAAGGUAACCUACCUCUGUGGUAGCCUCCUCCAUUCCCCCCCCCCCUCUCCCUUGGCCGGAGAAGGCCGCAGAGGACGAGAGGGAAGGGGGGGGAGGAAAGGAAAGCAGAGCUGGCAGCCUGGUUUGGUUUUCAGUUUCUGCUGCUGGACUGAAACCUGACACCAUGAACGCUUGCAGCUUUCUAAAGCUUUUAAUUCUUUUACUACCUGGAUAAAAUGUACAGAUUACUCCUUUUUCUCAGAAAGACAGAGAAUGAGAGAGACAAUCAACAUGAAAAAGACAUCCUAAAACUACCAAAAACAGUGAGGAAAAGAGUUAAGUUUAAAUGGGAAAGAGAGAAUAAGAAGGUGCUUUACAGCUGAAAUAUCUUUCUGUUAAAGCUAUGGAGAUGGACAAUAGUAGUUUAAAAAGACUCCUUUAAUUCAUGACUAGAGUAUUGGGAGGAAUAGAGUGUUCAAAGUGUGGACUUUUGAGAAAAGAGAGAGUAAUUGUGAUACUGUGAGUUGCUGGAAAUGGGUAGAGUGAAGAUUUUGAAGCCUUGGGGGGCAAAGACAAAACUGUUUUCCAGGAAGGCUCACAGAGACAGAUGAAGAAGACUUCUGCCUUUGAAUAACUUAUCCUUAAAAUGGCAUCCCUAGACUCAUGGCCCAUACACACCUCAGAGUGAUGUGAAAUGGGAGGAGUGAACUCUGAUGACAGAUUUCAGGGCAGCUGACAUCAGGGCAAUAGAAAACUAUAGCAGAAAUAGUUUUCUUGUGAGAAACUCCAUAAAUUGACAGAAGGAGACUUCUGUUUCUCUACAAAGACUGAUGAAAAGACUCUAGCAAGAACUGAGACUGUUUUUGACCACCAAAGUUCUAAAGUUUUUUGUCUCUAUGUUAUCAUGUGUACAAAGAAAUGGUCAAGUAGUGAGAGAUAAAAGGGUUUUCUGGAAGUUUAUUCUAGUGUUCUUAUUCUUGUAGUUUUUUAAUAAACUGUCUUUAUUCCUUUUAAGUUUUAAGCCUGUUUUGCUCUUGUUCUAAUCCAUAUCUCACAGCAAGAAAUAAGUAAUUUUUUUUAGUUACUGGUUUAAAACCAUGACACCUGUACAGCCUUUGCCCCUUCUUUUAAUUCCACAUGUACUGGUUGUGCCAAUUUAGAUUUUCCUCGUAUAUCUGUUUCCCAUACAGAUAGAAUUACUGCAUCCUCUACUUCCUUAGGGAUAGUAGGGACUGGUUUUUCUUUUAUCAUUAAAAUUUGUCCUGUCUUUGAUUCGGGUAUUUUCAUUAAAAGUUCCCCGUUCGCAAAAGUUAUUACUGCAUCAAGUUUUGCCAAUAAAUCUCAUCCUAAAAGUAGAAUUGGACACUCAGGCACAUAGAAGAAUUCAUGUGUUAAAACUUUGUUUCCAAAACACAAAUCUAGGGGUUGCAGGAAUGGUUGAUUUUGCUCCUUCCCUGCAGCUCCAACUAUUGUUGUUCUGUCCCAAAUUUGCCCUUUUAAAUAAUUUAAUACAGAAUAUGUAGCCCCCGUAUCCACCAGGAUUUUUACUUCUUUAUUUCUCAAUUUUAUAGUUACUAAAGGUUCCUGUACUGAUUUUUGUUCCACUUCUAGUCAGCUGCUGUACUCUCCCAACACCAUUAAUUUUGAAACAUCCUGAUCCUGACUGAACUGACUGCCCUGGUUAAACCG